rnacentral:rRNA from 1 species
AGUGAAUAGAUACCCAGGUAGUCCUGGCCCUAAACGUUGCUCGCUCGCUCUACGGAGUAUCGACCCUCUGUGGGGCUAAAGCUAACGCGGUAAGCGAGCCGCCUGGGUAGUACGAGCGCAAGCUUAAAACUCAAAGGAAUAGACGGGGACUCGCACAAGCGGUGGAUCAUGUGGCUUAAUUCGUCGAUAAGCGAAGAACCUUACCAGGGCUAGAAACCAAGCUGCAUCCUUCCUGAAAGGGAGGGAGCCUUCGAGGGUGCUUGGCAGGUGAUGCAUGGUUGUCGUCAGUUCGUGGCUUGAGCUGUUCCCUUCAGUGGGUAACGAACGCAACCCUCGUUGUCUGUUACUUAUGUCAGGCGAGACUG